CAAUAGCGUAUAUUAAAGUUGUUGCGGUUAAAAAGCUCGUAGUUGGAUUUCUGCUGAGGACGAUCGGUCCGCCCACUGGGUGAGUAUCUGGCUCGGCCUUGGCAUCUUCUUGGAGAACGUUGCUGCACUUGACUGUGUGGUGCGGUAUCCAGGACUUUUACUUUGAGGAAAUUAGAGUGUUUCAAGCAGGCGCACGCCUUGAAUACAUUAGCAUGGAAUAAUAAGAUAGGACCUUAGUUCUAUUUUGUUGGUUUCUAGAGCUGAGGUAAUGAUUAAUAGGGAUAGUUGGGGGCAUUCGUAUUUAACUGUCAGAGGUGAAAUUCUUGGAUUUAUUAAAGACGGACUACUGCGAAAGCAUUUGCCAAGGAUGUUUUCAUUGA
rnacentral:rRNA from 1 species